UGUUUGGCUUUACCAAAUAACCAAACCUUGUCCGCGUAUAGGGGCAUCCUCGUCCAAGUACUUUUUUGCUUUCUUUUCUUUCUUUUUUCUUUCUGCAUCUUUCACGCCUCUUUCACUCUGCCUCACAUCCUUCUUCAACGCCAUAAUCAGCCCCCUUCUCUUUGCCAUCUCGUUGUAUGAUCAGCACCAGCUUUUCUUCGAAGCAAGUCAUUACAGCAGAACCGAGCUUAUUGGAGAUUCUCAGUUUCACUCCUCAAUUUGGUUUGUCGAAGAUUCCACGAAACAAAAGCAGGUGAACUUACAAAAUUGAUUCCUUUAUUUCAAGAUUCAUUGCAAAUUACGGUCUGAUUUGAGCCUCUUCCUUUGAGGCACCCCACGCGCCCCUACAGAUGUUUGAAAUGCCUGAAUGGGUCUAUUAUGUUUUAGCAAUGCAUGAUUUCAAAUUUCUAAUGUGAUUAUACCUUUGUCCAGGGCUUCAGUAUAUCAAAUUGCCUGAAGCCAAUAAGUUGUUGAGCAAAAUAGGGAUUGCAGUUGCUGGGUUUGCGGAAGACUUAGGAUACAUCAAGUUUGAUGCACAUUGAAGGUGAGAGAAGAGAUGUCGCUGAAGGGAGAAGUUGCGUUGCCAGAGAGUUGGACAAAGAGGUGGUUGCGGAGUCUUGGCAGGGAAGAUGUUGCAAGGAAGAUGAAUCAGUUGGUAAUGAUAUUAGCUAUAGGCUUAAAAGGAGUUGUAGUGUUAUUGCUAGGAACAAGAGUGCACGAUAAUCAUAUAGGCAUAACAUUCACAACAGCUUGCGACCAACUUCUAGAAGCAAAUCAGAAAGGAUGUAGGCUGUCCGCUGAAAAGCGUUCUGUGAAACUGUCUCGCCAACUCUUUACUUGUUGAAGUUAAUGUAAAGCUUGAGUCUGUUAUAUUCAGUGUAUUUUCUCCAUUCUCUGCAAUUCAUC
rnacentral:lncRNA from 1 species